GGAGGAUUACCCAAGUGGCUGAAGGGGGCGGUCUUGAAAACCGCUAGGCGUGUCAAAGCGCGCGAGGGUUCGAAUCCCUCAUCCUCCU
rnacentral:tRNA from 1 species